rnacentral:rRNA from 1 species
CACAUAGGGCGCAAGCGUUGUCCGGAAUUAUUGGGCGUAAAGAGCUCGUAGGCGGUCUGUUACGUCCGCUGUGAAAACCCAGGGCUUAACCCUGGGCUUGCAGUGGAUACGGGUAGACUAGAGGCAGGUAUGGGAGAAUGGAAUUCCCGGUGUAGCGGUGAAAUGCGCAGAUAUCGGGAGGAACACCGGUGGCGAAGGCGGUUCUCUGGGCCUGACCUGACGCUGAGGAGCGAAAGCGUGGGGAGCGAACAGG